UGGCUCUGGCAUCGAUGAAGAACGCAGCGAAAUGCGAUAAGUAAUGUGAAUUGCAGAAUCCAGUGAGUCAUCGAAUCUUUGAACGCGCAUUGCGCCCGCCAGCAUUCUGGCGGGCAUGCCUGUCCGAGCGUCAUUUCAACCCUCAGGGAACCCCUUCGCGGGGGGGACCUGGUGUUGGGGGCCGGCCCGCCCAGCGCGCGCCGCCCCCGAAAUGCAGUGGCGACCUCGCCGCAGCCUCCCCUGCGUAGUAGCACAACCUCGCACCGGAGCGCGGAGGCGGUCACGCCGUAAAACGCCCAACUUUCUUUAGAGUUGACCUCGGAUCAGGUAGGAAUACCCGCUGA
rnacentral:misc_RNA from 1 species